GGAGGUGUAGCUCAGUUGGUAGAGUACUUGGUGCUUGCCUCAUAUGCACAAGGCCUUGGGUUCAAUCCCCAACACCACCA
rnacentral:tRNA from 1 species